rfam:Picea glauca, whole genome shotgun sequence.
AUAUGCCUAUAGAAUAGCAUUAAUGCACCAAAUCCCAUUAGAACUUCAUAGUUAAGCGUUCUCAGGAUAGAGUAGUACUGGGAUGGGUGACCUCCUAGGAAGUCCUAGUGUUUUACAUGCC